rnacentral:rRNA from 1 species
UACGUAGGGGGCAAGCGUUGUCCGGAUUUAUUGGGCGUAAAGCGCGCGUAGGUGGUUUCUUAAGUCUGAUGUGAAAGCCCACGGCUCAACCGUGGAGGGUCAUUGGAAACUGGGAGACUUGAGUGCAGAAGAGGAAAGUGGAAUUCCAAGUGUAGCGGUGAAAUGCGUAGAGAUUUGGAGGAACACCAGUGGCGAAGGCGACUUUCUGGUCUGUAACUGACGCUGAGGCGCGAAAGCAUGGGGAGCAAACAGG